rnacentral:rRNA from 1 species
AACGAACGCUGGCGGCGUGCUUAACACAUGCAAGUCGAACGAUGAAAUGGAGCUUGCUCCAUGGAUUAGUGGCGAACGGGUGAGUAACACGUGAAUAACCUGCCCUUAAUUUUGGAAUAACCCAGGGAAACCUGGGCUAAUACCGGAUAAGUAAACCUGUGGCAUCACAUGGUUUUGGAAAGUUUUUCGAUUAAGGAUGGAUUCGCGGCCUAUCAGCUUGUUGGUGGGGUAAUGGCUCACCAAGGCGACGACGGGUAGCCGGCCUGAGAGGGUGAACGGCCACACUGGGUCUGAGACACGGCCCAGACUCCUACGGGAGGCAGCAGUGGGGAAUAUUGCGCAAUGGACGAAAGUCUGACGCAGCGACGCCUCGUGAGGGACGAAGGUCUUCGGAUUGUAAACCUCUUUCAGCAGGGACGAAGCGAAAGUGACGGUACCUGAAGAAGAAGCACCGGCUAACUAUGUGCCAGCCGCCGCUGUAA